GAUGAACGCUGGCGGCGUGCUUAACACAUGCAAGUCGAACGAGAAGUGGAGACGGAAACCUUCGGGCGGAAGACUUUACUUCGAGUGGCGGACGGGUGAGUAACGCGUGGGUAACCUGCCUCAUACAGGGGGAUAACAGUUGGAAACGACUGUUAAUACCGCAUAAGACCACAGCACCGCAUGGUGCGGGGGUAAAAACUCCGGUGGUAUGAGAUGGACCCGCGUUCGAUUAGCCAGUUGGCGGGGUAACGGCCCACCAAAGCGACGAUCGAUAGCCGAUCUGAGAGGAUGACCGGACACAUUGGGAGUGAGACACGGCACAAACUCCUACGGGAGGCAGCAGUGGGGAAUAUUGCACAAUGGGGGAAACCAUGAUGCAGCGACGCCGCGUGAGUGAAGAAGUAUUUCGGUAUGUAAAGCUCUAUCAGCAGGGAAGAAAAUGACAGUACCUGAGUAAGAAGCCCCGGCUAACUACGUG
rnacentral:rRNA from 1 species